rnacentral:rRNA from 1 species
CCUACGGGAGGCUGCAGUGGGGAAUAUUGGACAAUGGGCGCAAGCCUGAUCCAGCAAUGCCGCGUGAGUGAUGAAGGCCUUCGGGUUGUAAAGCUCUUUUACUCGGGAAGAUAAUGACUGUACCGGGAGAAUAAGCCCCGGCUAACUUCGUGCCAGCAGCCGCGGUAAUACGAAGGGGGCUAGCGUUGUUCGGAAUUACUGGGCGUAAAGCGUACGUAGGCGGCCAUUCAAGUCAGAGGUGAAAGCCCAGGGCUCAACCCUGGAACUGCCUUUGAAACUAGAUGGCUUGAGGAUGGGAGAGGUGAGUGGAAUUCCAAGUGUAGAGGUGAAAUUCGUAGAUAUUUGGAAGAACACCAGUGGCGAAGGCGGCUCACUGGACCAUUUCUGACGCUGAGGUACGAAAGCGUGGGGAGCAAACAGGAUUAGAUACCCGGGUAGUC